UACGGGGGGGGCAAGCGUUGUUCGGAAUUACUGGGCGUAAAGGGCUCGUAGGCGGCCAACUAAGUCAGACGUGAAAUCCCUCGGCUUAACCGGGGAACUGCAUCUGAUACUGGAUGGCUUGAGAUUGGGAGAGGGAUGCGGAAUUCCAGGUGUAGCGGUGAAAUGCGUAGAUAUCUGGAGGAACACCGGUGGCGAAGGCGGCAUCCUGGACCGGCAUUGACGCUGAGGAGCGAAAGCCAGGGGAGCAAACGGG
rnacentral:rRNA from 1 species